rnacentral:rRNA from 1 species
CCUACUGGUGGCAGCAGUGGGGAAUAUUGCACAAUGGCGGAAACCCUGAUGCAGCAACGCCGCGUGAGUGAAGAAGUAUUUCGGUAUGUAAAGCUCUAUCAGCAGGGAAGAAGAAAGACGGUACCUUACUAAGAAGCCCCGGCUAACUACGUUCCAGCAGCCUCGGUAAUACGUAGGGGGCAAGCGUUAUCCGGCUUUACUGGGUGUAACGGGUGCGUAGGUGGUAUGGCAAGGUAGUAGCGUAACUCCAAGGCUUCACCUUGGAACUACUACUAAAACUGUUGGACUUGAGUGCAGGAGGGGCAACCGGAAUUCCUAGUGUAGCGGUGGAAUGCGUAGAUAUUAGGAGGAACACCAGUGGCGAAGGCGGGUUGCUAGACUGUAACUGACACUGAGGCACGAAAGCGUGGGGAGCAAACAGGAUUAGAUACCCGGGUAGUC